rnacentral:rRNA from 1 species
UACGAAGGGGGCUAGCGUUGUUCGGAUUCAUUGGGCGUAAAGGGUGCGUAGGUGGCGCUGUAAGUCGGGUGUGAAAUUUCGGAGCUUAACUCCGAAACUGCAUUCGAUACUGCGGUGCUUGAGGACUGGAGAGGAGACUGGAAUUCAUGGUGUAGCAGUGAAAUGCGUAGAGAUCAUGAGGAAGACCAGUGGCGAAGGCGGGUCUCUGGACAGUUCCUGACACUGAGGCACGAAGGCCAGGGGAGCAAACGGG